ensembl:ncRNA F22F1.7 ncRNA
AAUUGAAAAAUCAACAAAAAAGUUCUCCCCGGCCGGGAAUUGAACCCGGGUCUCGCAUGUGACAGACGCGGAUACUCACCACUAUACUACCGAGGACAUG